rnacentral:rRNA from 1 species
CCUACGGGGGGCAGCAGUGAGGAAUAUUGGUCAAUGGACGCAAGUCUGAACCAGCCAUGCCGCGUGCAGGAAGACGGCUCUAUGAGUUGUAAACUGCUUUUGUACGAGGGUAAACGCAGAUACGCGUAUCUGUCUGAAAGUAUCGUACGAAUAAGGAUCGGCUAACUCCGUGCCAGCAGCCGCGGUAAUACGGAGGAUUCAAGCGUUAUCCGGAUUUAUUGGGUUUAAAGGGUGCGUAGGCGGUCGGAUAAGUUAGAGGUGAAAUCCCGAGGCUCAACUUCGGAAUUGCCUCUGAUACUGUUCGGCGAGAGAGUAGUUGCGGUAGGCGGAAUGCAUGGUGUAGCGGUGAAAUGCUUAGAGAUCAUACAGAACACCGAUUGCGAAGGCAGCUUACCAAGCUACUUCUGACGUUGAGGCACGAAAGCGUGGGUAUCGAACAGGAUUAGAUACCCCUGUAGUC